rnacentral:tRNA from 1 species
GUAGGUACAGCUCAGUGGUAGAGCGUGUGCUUAGCAUGCAUGUGGUCCUGGGUUCAAUCCCCAGUACCUCCA